UACAGAGGUGGCAAGCGUUGUUCGGAAUUACUGGGCGUAAAGGGCGCGUAGGCGGCCUUCUAAGUCAGACGUGAAAUCCCCCGGCUUAACCUGGGAACUGCGUCUGAUACUGGGAGGCUUGAGUAUGGGAGAGGGAUGUAGAAUUCCAGGUGUAGCGGUGAAAUGCGUAGAUAUCGAGAGGAACACCUGCGGCGAAGGCGGGUUGCUGGGCUGAUACUGACGCUGAGGCGCGAAAGCCAGGGGAGCGAACGGG
rnacentral:rRNA from 1 species